rnacentral:rRNA from 1 species
UACGAAGGGAGCGAGCGUUGUUCGGAAUCACUGGGCUUAAAGCGUGCGUAGGUGGAUUGGUAAGUCAGGAGUGAAAUCCCAGGGCUUAACCCUGGAACUGCUCUUUAGACUGCCUGUCUGGAAUUCGGAAGAGGUUGGUGGAACUCCCAGUGUAGAGGUGAAAUUCGCAGAUAUUGGGAAGAACACCGGUGGCGAAGGCGACCAACUGGUCCGACAUUGACACUGAGGCACGAAAGCGUGGGUAGCAAACAGG